GCCAAGUACGAACUGUUCAAGAGCUCCCCACACUCCCUGUUCCCAGAAAAAAUGGUCUCCAGCUGUCUCGAUGCACACACUGGUAUAUCCCAUGAAGACCUCAUCCAGAACUUCCUGAAUGCUGGCAGCUUUCCUGAGAUCCAGGGCUUUCUGCAGCUGCGGGGUUCAGGACGGAAGCUUUGGAAACGCUUUUUCUGCUUCUUGCGCCGAUCUGGCCUCUAUUACUCUACCAAGGGCACCUCUAAGGUAAGGUCUUGAGGGUACCAGCCCCAGCCCCUCCAGUCCCUGGUCCUUUUAGAAGUUGCCCCUUCUCUGCUGGAACCCCUGAGCCCUUCUCCCCCUGGGCCCCCCAGGCCAGCCACCUCCAGUUUACCAUCUCUCCCUACAUCCUUGCCUAGCUCACCUGCCCAGGGAGGUAGCAGGAGAAAAGAUGAUCUUAGUUUAAGUCCUGGCUCUACUUCUAUUUG
rnacentral:sRNA from 1 species